AAACCUGGUGGUUCGUGUGCCUUGUCAGCCACUGGCUGCAAAUGAGGAUAAUUUUCCCAAAAGGAGCAUUCAGUUGCAUUCUCAUUUUCCCUUUUGGCUCUUUCAAAUAUAAACAAGUACGAUAAUGUUUAACGCUGGGGAAAUAUACAGUAAGUUACAGGCUGUGCUGCGGCCUUGAGAGCUGGAGCUGGUUAAAGGGACAGGACUCCCUGCCCAUUGUUCUGCCCUCUGGCCCUGAGCUUUUACAAAGCCCCUUUUCCUAAUAAAACAUGUUCAUUGUAUUAUUGCAGCCGAGCCCACUAGUGAGGCCGUGGUUUAAAGGGCAUCACCACUUCCUUCCAAGCUCUUGUUUUUGAGAGACCUUAUCAUCCGAUGCUCUAAAUUUACAUUGGCUGGAAUUCUGAUAUCCCUAGUUCUCUGGAGAGUCAAGAUUUUGAUUUAGUUACAUAAAAUGAAUCAUUUUUCUCCUUUUAAAAAAAUAUGCAUUUUUAAUGAUCUCACUGAAUAACAUAACUUCAGAGCUGGACUAUUAUCCUAGCCAUUGGCUUCAUUUAACAGUAAAAAGACUGAGGCCCAGGGAGGUGAAAAAUAUGCCUCAGAUCUUACUAGUUAGGGCACAGUACCACCGGAUGACAACCAAGGCUCUCCAUCUCCAGCCUGGUGACUUCCCACUAAAGCAAAGAGUUACAAAAUAUCAAAUGGCAGAUUCCGAAAUUGUCUGAAGUCUUCAAUCUUGUUAAAGAGGUUUAGAUAAGGGCUAAAUUGUCUUUCCCCAUCCACACCCUGGCACCCCAUCCAUAGGUAAGAGCCAAUGAAUGUUGUUUGGGGGCUAAUACCAAAACAACACAGGAAGUGAACCCGUGGAUCCUAUCUGAAAACUGGACAACUUUUAAACAACACCAGAGUGACAAGGGUGGAGUGAUCUCAUCUCGCUCUAAUAUUCUAACCCAAAUAAAUCCAAAGGCCUCUCAUAGACUGGUGUUUAUGCUUCACUUAAAGUCCUCUUCCUCCAGAGUGUCCCCAGCUUAGGGAAGACCAACUAGGUUCAGGACUCUACUGGACUCAGGUGACUCAUCUGGGACUUGAGGAGACUGGGGGCAAGGGGCGUCCCCCUCUCAGAACACAGUGGUUAUCUGCCCAGUCAUCAGCUCCCGGUGCAGAAUAACAAUGCCUUUAGGAACGAGGUACUGUCACAGGACCCACACAGAAGACAUCCAGAUUCCCACUCACCCGCACGGAGAUAAACAGUGGAGAGCUGAUACUGAGACCUUGCAGAAUCCAAGAGGUUAAAAGAAAUAAUAAAGGAAACUGCCAAUUGUAAGUGAAUUAUAUUUGGCUCUGAAAGCUGAGGCACAGGCUAUAUUAUAAAAGGCAUCUCUUUGCGUUGUUUACCAUCACCCUGACUAAUGCAGACCUUUUUUUUUGUUUUAAAUAAUCUCAUGCAAAUUAGACACACACACUUCCUUCCAGUUGAUUGCUAUCUGCAAGGAAUAAUCUAACCGCAGAGGGACUGAGCAAGAGCUGAGCAGAGCAGAGACGGGAGCGAAGGGUGUCCCCAUCCUGUGGCAGGUAAACAGCCUCCCCUCCUCUGUCUGCCUCAAGUCUUCCUUUAGCUGCUGCCUUUGGAAGAAUUAGCCAACUCUAAUAAAGCCUAAAAUUUUCUUUUAGUUGGGGUAUCAAUUUGCACAAUCUGAUAUCACUAGCCCUUUGCCUUUCUGAAAGAUGCUCUUUCAGUAACUUCACCUCUGCCACUUGCCGAAUUCCAAGGUCUACCAGCCCCUUGCCAAGUGUGUGACACUGACAAUCAAAAUAUUAUUGAUAGAGAGCAAAACUAACAAAGUCUUGCUCAGUUAUCCCAUCCACUCACUAGCUUUUCCAAGAGGAGGAGAAAUGGACGAGAGGACUUCUUCAAGGCAAGCAGGAGGGACAAGGAUGCCUGUUCUGAGAGGCAGAGUGUCACUGCACCCUUAAGACCACAGUUGCCUGACCUCCUAAAUUGAGCUUUCACUUCAAACGGAACUGUGCAAAAGAACUGAGUGCCCUGAAGCAGGGCUGACUUCUUGUUCUCUCAGUUUUCUGGAAUCAACUUCCAAAACAAGCUCCCUCUACAAAGAGACAUCUGCUGCCUCUGUGUAGAAGCCAGGCCAAAGACUUCUCUUCCAACACUUUCUCCAGGGUGGGAUUCUUGCAAAAGAACAGAACAAGUGAGCUACAUUCUAUUGAUUAAUAAAGCCCCGUGUUCCUCCGGCAGCAACUGCGGUGAAUGGCCUCGGGGCUGCCAAACCUGCUUAUUUUUAUCCCUUAGAAGAUAAACAAAUUUGUUUUCUUUUUCUAAAGGUUUCUGUUAAAAUGCAAACAAAAUCAGACCGGUUGACUUGGUGUGAGCUGCAGCGCUGGCUGUGAGCAGGAUGCUGCAGGGUCCUUUCCCAUGACUCAGACAGAACCGGCACAGGCAAGGGCUGACUUUUUUCUGUGGGACUGGCUGUGCAAGGGCUUCUCAGAAUAAGUAACCUCAAUGCUGUCCCCAGUGACCACUGGGCACUGCUAUGGGGCCUGGCCCUACGCAGGUGAAGCAGAAAGACAGAUGACAGCAGACAGCAGUGUUCUCUGCAUCUUUCAGGUCAAACCACCACCAGGACAGCAAGGUUAGGAAUGGUUUAGAGAUGUAAUGAACGCCCAAGAACACCUUCCAGUGUGGCUGGAGUUUUAUAAUAAAAACGUUGAGUGUUGAGUCCGACUGGGAUUAGGGAACAGGGCCAGAGGGCGAGUGGCAGAGGGCGGCAGUUAUGCGCUGGCCACUGGGGCCAUCUUCCUCCCCCAUCACAGUCCCUCUAUUCACAGGACUCGAGUGAUUCAUCUGGGACUCACAGAGACUGAGCGGGGGUCACCUCUCUCAGAACACAACUAGUUAUCUACCCAUGUACACUCCGGGAGGAGAUGAGGCAGAGAAGACAGCUGGCUAAAAAUACUCCCCAAAUUAAAAGAAAAAUCAACUCUCUCAGAAAAGGUUAGGGGAGGGGAAAAGAAGAAAAGUAUUUUUAUUUUAUUUUAUUAACAUUUUGUUGGAACAGUAGAGUACAAUAAGGACUCUCAGAGCCUCUAAAAGUCGUUGGAUGACCUGUAGACCCCUAUUUCCCAGUGCCUUGUAUAAAAUUGAAUUUUUUAAACAUAAAUUACACGUAAUGACGACACUGUAAAAACUAACAGUAAUGGAAAGCUGUGCUGUAUUUCAUUAGCCUGUAUUAUUCCGUGCCACCUGAUCCAGCCGGGCCUUGUUUAUGAGUUAGUGUGUUAGCAGAUGCCGAUGGAAGCAUUUGCUUCGACCUUGCUCUUCUCAUUGGGGCAUGAAAUUACGACGGCAGCACCUUGAUAUUACAGCCAUAAAUACAGUAAACUGCAAAUUUAAGCCAACGGCUCCUAUUGUCUCUGAACAUAAAGCUGAUCGGUAUUUAUUUAAAAGGAGAACAAAAAAAAUAUUAUAUAUCACCUUGUUUAUGGGGCCUCCCCCACCCACUUUCUUAUCCCCUCCCCCAGCCCCCCAACCUGUCUAAUUCACUUGGUUAAAAUAUUAAGCAAAUAAGCUGAAUGCUUUCUUCUCCACUGAUUAACUUCCCAAGCAGCAGAAACAGUUUUUGAGAAAACUAGUUCCAAAUGUCAUUAGCUGAAUGAAAGAGUUUUUAUAAAAAUUGAUCUGACGGUGGGUCUGGUUCCCACCAUCCUGAUAUUGAUAUGUAAAUUCAAGAACAAGACAGGCGACUUUCCCCUCUCCUUAAACGAGGGAAGUUCAAACAACAGGAGAAAAAGUUGCUGAUGAUGCCCUGAAAUUGAAUGUCCUCUCAGUACCCUUCUAAAAAUCGUUAGGUAAAAAUGCUAUUUCAAAAAGCAGCAAAACAUUGCCUCUUGCCACCUAAGGAAAGAAAGAAAGAUAUCUAACCAAGAAUAUAAUUCUCAUCUCAACAUAGGGAGCUGGGGACCUCUCAUUAAAACUCGCACCAAUCCCCUCAUCCCAGUGAACCAUAAAGACAAUAUAUCCUUUAAAUACAUUAAAUGUGCAAGAAAAAUAAACACAAAGACAAAAGGACACUGGGUAUCACCCAGUCACGUCUCCGAGUAUAAAUCACUGAGUAAAAAGCCAGUGCAAAAUGCACUGCUCUGCUAGCUUAGAGACUGAGGAACCCGGCAGGCUUGUUCCACUCUAAGCCUAAAAGAGAAGGCGGGUCUGCUUCCUAAUGUCAGUGGAAGAGGAUCUCUCUGCCUCUCAGAGAGGCAGACAAGAGAUGUAAAAACUCAGCCAAGCCCAAGUUUGGAGGUUUCAAAGGGUGAGUGGUGACAACAGCAGAGCAUCAGCAGGCAAGCUCGGCAGUCACUACCCGUGAAGCAUUCAGAAGGAUCAUUUCAGCAGUGAACUAAAUGCAAGUUUGGGGAGUGGUUUAAUUUCAAACCAGACAGGCUGGGGUCAUGGGAUCCCGUGCUCAGAAGUAUCAGUGACACAGUCAAAUCAAGCGAGAUCAGAAGUUUUUGUACAUUUACUUCUGAUGCGUUAUUCCACAAGGCAGACGUACUCCUUUGGAGCCCUAAAUUAUUUCAGCCACACCAGUCAUUGAGCUUAGCUCCUUCCGCAUAAGGAGGAAACUUCCCUAUAAAAUUUAUUGAGCUUCUCUGGGGAGUAGUAUAACUGGUGAACAAGACAGAAGUGAGCUGCCCCUCUGUGUAACACAAAUUGAGAUCUCUCAUAUGAAAGACUGGGAGGGUUUCCAAUCGGCAUCCGUGAUGUCUAUUUCUAGAUCUAUAGUCUAAAGGGUUUUUUUCUUUUAAUCCCUCUCUGCUAAAUUAAAAACAAAAACAAAGAGGAGUUGAUUUUGAUAUUUGAUCAUCAAUUCCAAAGGAUUAACGGCACGGCAAAUAUUGUUGCUGGCUUCACGAACAGCAGUGUCUAAGCGUGCAGGUCCUUGGCAACAGGCUGGGAAGUCAGCCCUUCCCACGGUGCACUGAACAAGUCCUGGGGAAGGAACUGCGUCUUUAAAGACCAAGGGAUAUGAAAAUCAGGAAUCACUGCUACUGGUGUGCUAAAGGCCAGGUAAGGCAAAGGUAUGUUUGUGCCUAUGUGGAAAAGCCAAAUUAAUAAACAUUUUUAACUGUACUUGAAUGUUGCUCCUGUUUUAGAAGAGGCAGUGAAGUUUGUUUUAAAAAAAGAAAAUUCACCUUUGACAACGACACAAAGAAAUUCAGCUCUGGAAGAAAACCCGGAGCUCGUCUGGUCUAUCUCCUGUUCUUUUUCUUUUCUUUUCCUUCUGUUUUACAGAUCAAGAAAAAAGGACAUAGAGGGGGCAGUGACUUACCCACAGCCUAUGGCACCACAGGUUCCUGUUUCUUCCUCUUCACACGUCUAGACGUGGCUGCUGGAAUCUCUGCUGGAAUCUGCAGCACCUACCCUGUGCAUGGGCAGUGUAGGAGUCAGCCUAGAAUUUGAGGGGUGUUUAUAUGCAGAGUUUGGGGUUACCCCUCCAAUGUUCUCUUUCCUGGAAUUUCCAAUCACAUUCUAGCCACUCUGGCAUCCUCAAAAUCCAUCCCCCAAUUCCUCAAACCAAUAUGACAGCAGCUUUCUGCCUGACUUCUAUUUGCCAGCACCUGAUGGACUGGGGAAUACCUCAAGGAAAAAGCCCACAAUGGUUUCUUCUCUCAAGAAUCAAAUCCACAGCAAUUUCUGCUUGCUUCCCAUUGCUCUCCUGUGCCCUCAAGCAACAUUUUAAAAAUAUUUUGUCCAGAAUUUAUAUUUGUUAUUGGUGGAAAUGUUAUUCUGAUAUAAGCUGCUCAGUCAUUACUGAAAGCCAGAACUCUCAGAAUGUUUUUGAAAAGAGAAGAAUGAUCAAGUGAGCCUUGUUUUUAUACCUAUUAAAAUUGAUGAUAAAGAUACAGCAAUUAAAACAACUGUGGCACUUGUAUAAGAACGUACAGGUCAAUAAAAACAAUAGAUGAACUUGUUAUAUACUGAAAUUUAAUAUAUAAUAAAGGAAGCAUAACAAAUAAAUGGGAAAAAAUUAUUUAUUUAUUUGAAGGACAGUUUUGGAAAAAGUGAUGUUUGAAAGGAGUUUCACUUCCCAUCAUUUCAUUAAUUUCAGGAUUAAGAGAAAUAUACAAACAUAAACCAUAAAAACUGAAAUAAAAUGUUGGUGAAUAUUUAACUUAUUACUGGUUUGGUGUUUGUGGACAA